rnacentral:rRNA from 1 species
UACGUAGGGGGCAAGCGUUGUCCGGAAUCAUUGGGCGUAAAGCGCGUGUAGGCGGCUUGGUAAGUCUGCUCUGAAAGUCCGGGGCUCAACUCCGGAUCUGCGGUGGGUACGGGCAGACUAGAGUGAUGUAGGGGAGACUGGAAUUCCUGGUGUAGCGGUGAAAUGCGCAGAUAUCAGGAGGAACACCGAUGGCGAAGGCAGGUCUCUGGGCCACUACUGACGCUGAGAAGCGAAAGCAUGGGGAGCGAACAGG